rnacentral:lncRNA from 1 species
GGAGGUCCUAGCUUUCUUAGUUGCACUAAAGAUCAACAUAACAAAUACGGAAGCAAACGACUGUAGGGCAUUGUAACAGGGUCAAGCCUUCUCUUAGGACUUCUCUUCCUUUGCUGACUUUGUCGGUAGUAUCGUUGUUGUUGUUGUUGUUGGGGAGCAUAUUGUUGCUGAUACGGGGCUGGUUGUUGACCGACCCGUUGAUCAG